rnacentral:lncRNA from 1 species
GACAAUAUUAGUAAGACUUUAUAGGAUGUGGGAGGUGAAGAAAGCAGAGUUGGGAUGAUUCUUAAAUUUGUAACACAAAUGACUGCAUGACUGGUCGUUCUGUCAAAUGAGGCAGUGAAAUCUAGAUGGAGUUCAGGAAAGGGGCAAAAGACAAGUUCACUUUAGACAGUUUGGACAGGUUUACCAGAUAAGGCAGCACUCUUCAAGUCAAGGGGGAUUCUUUGGGAGCUAUUUUGGGGUCUCCUGUUUCCUGGAAUCAAUGACCAAUUUAAAUGCCAGGUCUCUGAUGUUCUUUACAAUUACUGUUUGGUUUUCUUGCCUUUUCUGGUCACAGUGCACAUUCAAGACACAAAGCCACGGUUGUCAGCAGCAGAUCCAGCAGCACCAUGGUCCUGGGGUCUGAAAGACUUCAUCUUGCUUUCCUCUGCUGCUCCAGACAAAGGCCGUCUUGUACACUAUCUAUUUCAGUCAUUUGUAUGAGCGCCGUGGAAUAUUUUCAAGCUAUCCCUUUUAAGCAUUAUCUCUUGGCAGUUAAGAAAAUAGAUCCAUCGCAAGCACUGGAAGUUCUGAAAAGGAGUUUAAAAAUAGCUCCGGGUGCUAGACAGCUGCAGCUAUUGGGAAACUGAACCCUUGGCUUGCACUUUUGCUGGUUUUAUUUCAACCUUGCAGCUGGAAAUCAGUAGCUCCUCCUCUGUUGGGAACAGAUGCAAAAGGAAGAAGGCACGAAUCAGUACCCUCUUUUGACUUGGGGUCACACUUGGCAAUCUGAAUGCUGAGAGGCACCAGGGCAAUGCAGAGUGAGCAUGUAAAACUCUUGAGUUUCAAACAGCCUAUCCAAUAUUAUCUUUAUAUUUAUUUGGAAGUGAAAAUAAAGCUUGUUGGUUUUGUCAUGCAAAUUAUAGGAAGCAAAUCAGAUAAAAUCCUCUUGGCUGGUAAGAAUAGGCAGAAAACACAUCAACUGGUAACAACACAAUGCUUUACAUGCAUUCUUUGACAACGCUAUGAAGUGACUGCUAUUGCCAUUUCCAUCUUUCGAGUGAAUGAGAAAGGAAAUUGUGGAAGAAAGUGCCUGGCCACAGAGCCAGGGAGCUGGGGAGGUGGGGUUGCCACACAGUCAGGCUCCAAAGCCCCUGCUCCCAGCCAUUGCACUCUACCACCUUUCAACUGGGGAUGCAUGCAAUGUUCAUGUUUCUCAAAAGGGAGCAUGGGUGUUUAAAAGUAGAAAACUCCAGUAAUAGACAUGAACAAAUCUCUGUUUUAAGCCUAGCUAUACCAUGAUGCCACUCAAUACAUUUUUGCUGAGUAAAUGAAGGACUGCAUUUUAAAUAAAUAAAGGAGGACCCUUAGCCUUUUUCUGUUUGUUUUUGUGAUUUUUUUUUUGAGAUGGGGUCUUGCUCUGUUGCCCAAGCUGGAGUGCAGUGGUGUAAACACGGCUUACUACAGCCUUGACCUCCCAGGCUCAAGUGAUCCUCCCACUUCAGCCCCCCAAGUAGCUGGGACUACAGACAUGCACUACCACACCUGGCUAAUUUUUGUAUUUUUUGUGAAGAUGAGGUUUCAUCAUGUUGCCAAGGCUGGUCUCGAACUCCUGAGCUCAAGUGAUCCACCUGCCUUGGCCUCCCAAAGUGCUGGGAUUACAGGCAUGAGCCACUGGAUCUGGCCCCCUUAGUCU